rnacentral:rRNA from 1 species
AUUGAACGCUGGCGGCAUGCCUUACACAUGCAAGUCGAACGGCAGCGGACCUUCGGGUGCCGGCGAGUGGCGAACGGGUGAGUAAUAUAUCGGAACGUACCUUUCAGUGGGGGAUAACGUAGCGAAAGUUACGCUAAUACCGCAUAUUCUGUGAGCAGGAAAGCAGGGGAUCGCAAGACCUUGCGCUGAUUGAGCGGCCGAUAUCAGAUUAGCUAGUUGGUGAGGUAAAGGCUCACCAAGGCGACGAUCUGUAGCGGGUCUGAGAGGAUGAUCCGCCACACUGGAACUGAGACACGGUCCAGACUCCUACGGGAGGCAGCAGUGGGGAAUCUUGCGCAAUGGGGGCAACCCUGACGCAGCCAUGCCGCGUGAAUGAUGAAGGCCUUAGGGUUGUAAAGUUCUUUUGCCCGUGACGAUGAUGACGGUAACGGGAGAAUAAGCUCCGGCUAACUUCGUG